GGCAGCUCUCCGGUGACGCACCUCAGAAUCAGGCUCCCUCCUCUCUGGUUCCCAGUGCGUCACCUGAGAACCAUA
rfam:Myotis lucifugus cont2.18864, whole genome shotgun sequence.